rnacentral:rRNA from 1 species
GAUGAACGCUGGCGGCGUGCUUAACACAUGCAAGUCGAACGGUGAAGCAGGAGCUUGCUCUUGUGGAUCAGUGGCGAACGGGUGAGUAACACGUGAGCAACCUGCCCCUGACUCUGGGAUAAGCGCUGGAAACGGCGUCUAAUACUGGAUAUGUGAUGUGACCGCAUGGUCUGCAUCUGGAAAGAAUUUCGGUUGGGGAUGGGCUCGCGGCCUAUCAGCUUGUUGGUGAGGUAAUGGCUCACCAAGGCGUCGACGGGUAGCCGGCCUGAGAAGGUGACCGGCCACACGGGUAGUGAGACACGGCCCAGACUCCUACGGGAGGCAGCAGUGGGAAAUAUUGCAAAAUGGGCGGAAGCCUGAUGCAACAACGCCGCGGGAGGGAUGACGGCUUUCGGGUUGUAAACCUCUUUUAGCAGGAAAGAAGCGAAAGUGACGGUACCUGAAGAAAAAGCACCGGCUAACUACGUGCCAGCCGCCGCGGUAA